UUGGUAGCAAUACCAUGAGAGCGGCGCACGGGUGAGUAACGCGUACACGACCUACCUCUGACAGGGGGAUAGCCCUGGGAAACUGGGAUUAAUACCGCAUAUUAUUCUGAUUAAUAAAGGAUUGGAAUGAAAGUUCAGGCGGUCAGAGAUGGGUGUGCGUCUGAUUAGCUAGUUGGUAGGGUAACGGCCUACCAAGGCGAUGAUCAGUAGGGGGCGUGAGAGCGUGGUCCCCCACACGGGUACUGAGACACGGACCCGACUCCUACGGGAGGCAGCAGUAAGGAAUAUUGGACAAUGGCCGCAAGGCUGAUCCAGCCAUCCAGCGUGCAGGAAGAAGGCCCUAUGGGUUGUAAACUGCUUUUAUCAGGGAAUAAACCUCUGGAUUCACUCCGGAGCUGAAGGUACCUGAA
rnacentral:rRNA from 1 species